GCUUGCUGGGGGAUUAGUGGCGAACGGGUGAGUAACACGUGAGUAACCUGCCCUUGACUCUGGGAUAAGCCUGGGAAACUGGGUCUAAUACCGGAUACGACCAUCUGGCGCAUGUCAUGGUGGUGGAAAGCUUUUGUGGUUUUGGAUGGACUCGCGGCCUAUCAGCUUGUUGGUGGGGUAAUGGCCUACCAAGGCGACGACGGGUAGCCGGCCUGAGAGGGUGACCGGCCACACUGGGACUGAGACACGGCCCAGACUCCUACGGGAGGCAGCAGUGGGGAAUAUUGCACAAUGGGCGCAAGCCUGAUGCAGCGACGCCGCGUGAGGGAUGACGGCCUUCGGGUUGUAAACCUCUUUCAGUAGGGAAGAAGCGAAAGUGACGGUACCUGCAGAAGAAGCGCCGGCUAACUACGUGCCAGCAGCCGCGGUAAUACGUAGGGCGCAAGCGUUAUCCGGAAUUAUUGGGCGUAAAGAGCUCGUAGGCGGUUUGUCGCGUCUGCUGUGAAAGACCGGGGCUCAACUCCGGUUCUGCAGUGGGUACGGGCAGACUAGAGUGCAGUAGGGGAGACUGGAAUUCCUGGUGUAGCGGUGAAAUGCGCAGAUAUCAGGAGGAACACCGAUGGCGAAGGCAGGUCUCUGGGCUGUAACUGACGCUGAGGAGCGAAAGCAUGGGGAGCGAACAGGAUUAGAUACCCUGGUAGUCCAUGCCGUAAACGUUGGGCACUAGGUGUGGGGGACAUUCCACGUUUUCCGCGCCGUAGCUAACGCAUUAAGUGCCCCGCCUGGGGAGUACGGCCGCAAGGCUAAAACUCAAAG
rnacentral:rRNA from 1 species